UGUCUUCUGGAAUAGAAGAUGGUUUGCAAAAUUCAGAAGUCGAGAUUUCAGCCUUGAAGUUGAACAUCGAACAGGAUGUCCACUUGAGUUUGAUGACAAGCUCCUUGAGGCAUUACUUGAAGAAAAUCCUGCAUUAUCAGUUGAAGAAUUGGCAAUAAAUCUUAGUUCAAACCAUACAACUGUUCAUCGUCAUCUUCAACAACUUGAAAA